GACGAACGCUGGCGGCGUGCCUAAUACAUGCAAGUCGAACGCAGUGGGGACGGGUGAGUAACACGUGGGUAACCUCCCAUCAGAGGGGAUAACACUUGGAAACAGGUGCUAAACCGAUACUGAUGGAUGGACCCGCGGUGCAUUAGCUAGUUGGUGAGGUAACGGCUCACCAAGGCCACGAUGCAUAGACGACCGGAGAGGGGGAUACGACAAACAGGGACUGAGAAAAGGACCAGACUCCUACGGGAGGCAGGAGUAGGGAAUCUUCGGCAAUGGACGAAAGGCGGACCGAGGAAAGCCGGGUGAGGGAAGAAGGGUUUCGGAGAGGAAAACUCUGUUGUUAGAGAAGCGGUAUCUAACCAGAAAGCCACGGCUAACUACGUGCCAGCAGCCGCGGUAAUAC
rnacentral:rRNA from 1 species